UGAAUUUUUGUUUAAUCCAGUUAUUGAGGCCAUUGUUGAAGCAGAUGAUAUAUCAGAUGAACAGAAAGCAAGAAUAUCCAAGAAAUUGGCUGAAGCUGAUAAGCUUCUUGACGUGGCCGGCAAUACAAUUCGAGCUUGUUGUAACAUGCCAGAGGGAUUUUCUUUCGAGGGCUAGAUGAUACUUUCAUUUGAGCUUCCAUUGGCUUUGAUCCCAUUCCUCAAGUUUAGCAGCAGCAGCACCAAGAUGGGUCCUCACAAAGAAUUCUCUAAUUGUGAGCUGUUUUUCUUUCGCUUUCACCUUUAUAUGAUCCAGUGAGCAUCAAAAUCAAAAUUGAAUGAAGGGUGUCAAGACUUGUGUGCAGAUCGUGGUCAUAUCAUAGAUUCUCGGGAUAGGGAUUAUCGAAAUCAAUCUGUAUUACCUAAGUACAGGGUCGGCUAAUUCAUAACAGUCUACCAAGGUUGCAAUUGUGUUCAGUGGGAUCGUAGUUUUUCUUUCAAUGGCAAUAUACAUUGUAGCGGUGAUUUACCUACUCGCAAGAAAAGACACUAUAAACACGUAUAUCGAGACGAAGAACGACUUCACAGUACAGACCCAGGUGGAAAAGGGGUUCAUGAAUUCUAAUAGGCAAUUGGAGUCGGGUCCUGUUCCCU